CAGAUUACUCUCAACUUUGAAUUACUCCUGUUACUUCAGAACAAGGAAGUACCACAUUCAAGUGAAAUGUCCUAAACCAUUCUUUUGUAGUUUGGAAAGGAAAGUGUGUGUACAACUGCCUGAGAUGCUUCAGAUCCCUACAAAUACUUUCAGAACCAGUGGAUUUAGAGAAGUGCCUCUUUAUUUCCAUCUUUGGAUUAUAUAUUACUCUUUAAACAGUCUUCUAGUAAAAAUUUGAAUACAUCCUGUUCUCAGUGGAACAUAAACAAUCCUUAAAAUACCUUUAGCUUGGUGGUUGCUUGAAUUAUUUACAUGGCAGUGUGGAUGUCCAACCUACAGGGAAAACUCUGCUCUGGAUUCUCGUCGUGGGGCUUUGCGGGAUGCCUUCCAGGAGCUUCAGAAAACUUGUGACUGUCAAACACAUGUUUUCACGGGACCCUUUGACUUUGUUAGUGCUACUUUUGCACUUCUGCAGUUGGUGUGGAGGACAUGGCUGAGUUCUGUGGUGAACAGACAUUAAUAUGAACAGUGUAAUGUGCAGUUGCAAAUAUAAGUUUAGCUAAAUGGAUCGACUCUGCUGGGAAUUCUUUUGCUGCUGUAACAUGGGUAAGGCUGAAGAGGCUGAAAAUCAAGCUAAUGCAUUUAGCCUCACAAAUAGUGAAUUGAGAGUUCGCGUGAUCGGUUACUGAGGCACUGUUGCUGGGCAAAUAGGUAGUGAUAAUUUGAUUGCUUUUAACAGUAUGGCCAUACCUUUUAUUUAUCUUGAUAUAAGAUAUAGAUGAAAGUUUCUGUAAUGUAUAGUAAAAUUAUGCCCAUUUGGUUGUGGUUUCUGUUUGCUGCUACAGUGCUGUGCAGAGCACUUCUGGAGUGGAUGCAUGCAGCGUGAUGGCAAAACUGUGCUUGUGCCAGUGAAGUUUUUCCUGUCAUUUCUGCUGGGCUACCCAGGGGAAAAAUAAGGGAUAUUAGCAUAGGUGUAGUUUUGUUAGGACAACUGCAUCUGUACUAAAGGCCUCUAUUACUAUAAACAAUUGUUUCUGCUAAUGUAGUACCUGGGAAUCCUCAUCCUGGGUCAGGAUCCUGUUGCACCAGGCUUUCUUUUACAAAGAAGAGUCUCUGUCCUCAAAGAGUUUAUGCAAGAAACCAUGUAACAAAAUAAGGGACAUGAAUGUGGGAAGAGGAGGCACUGGGGGAGGAAGUAGAACUAGAAGGUCAGCAGCUUGGCUGCUUGCUUGGGUCAUGUAGGGGGCAUUUUGGCAAGGGAUAGCUCAAAGGAGAGUUCGAGAGGUGGUUUUGUAGGUGUUCUUAAACUCCUUCCACGGAUUGAGGGAUACUCUAGGAAGAAGCACAGAGGUGUUCAUUUUAUUAUGUAUUGUGGGCCAUGGUGGCUGGUGUUACAGACUGCUGAGAAAUGGGAAUUAAGUCACUGAUGCUGAAUAGAAAAUGAUUAACUGAGAAGGAAUGGGCUAUGAGAUGAAAGAUAUGCAGACUUUUCCCUCUUGGGGGGGCUAGAGGGGAGCAGGGGAAAAGGCCAUAAAAAACUGCAAGUGUGUGGCAGGACCCUGAGAGAGCUGGCUCUGGCCAGUUAAGUAAAUAUGAAAACUGGGCUAUGUUGGUAGAAACCUUAAUGUGGGCAUGACCAAAUUAGCUUUUUCUGCCUCCAAGUCUUGAGGACAACUUAAAGCAUUAUUUCCUUCCACUGGAGAUGUGUUGAUUUUUAAAGGAUAGAGAAUUCCUGACUUGUUCUCUAAAUAAGUACAGAUCUGAGAGCUUGAAUUGGAAACAUAACUGUUUCAGGGCUGCCAUGUUAAGCAUCAAUAAGGUGCUGGAGCAAACUGAUGUUUCUGAUGAGGCUUUUCAAAAGUUUGCUCUCCCACAACAUCAUAGCAGGGGUUAUGAAUUUUAAAUUACUAUUAAACUUGAAAACAUGUUAACCUGAAAAUGAGAUUAACAGAACCAAUGGCUUUCUUAUUUAUGUUGGAAAGAACAAGGAGGACAGUCUUCCACCAGCUUUCCACAAUUGUUAUUAGUGUCACAAAAAAAAGGUAGAUCUAUAGCCAUGAGAAGGAAUAACCAAGUCUGCAGUACCAAGGGUGCUAAUGUAUUGUGUUGAAGUUCUCAGAUAAAACACAACAAUGAUGUGGGACUCUGUUAGUAUUACAGAAAUGCUUGCAAGCAGAUCAGGUCAGAAAGGAGAACUCUUUAUGCAAAUUAUAAAUCAACUAAGCAGCAGCAGUAGUAGUCUUCUGAAUUAGUGUUGGGCAUUAAACCCAGCGAAUGUUGUUCAGUACUCAAAAUGUAAGGGUUGAUAUACUUUUCCUGAUAUCUCAUAAAGGUUAAUACUCAAAGGAUUAAAUAAAGUUAUUGUACAUUAGUGAUUUUUUGAAAUU
rnacentral:lncRNA from 1 species